rnacentral:rRNA from 1 species
AACGAACGCUGGCGGCAUGCCUAACACAUGCAAGUCGAACGAGACCUUCGGGUCUAGUGGCGCACGGGUGCGUAACGCGUGGGAACCUGCCCUUAGGUUCGGAAUAACUCCCCGAAAGGGGUGCUAAUACCGGAUAAUUUCUUCGGACCAAAGAUUUAUCGCCUUUGGAUGGGCCCGCGUUGGAUUAGCUAGUUGGUAGGGUAAAAGCCUACCAAGGCGACGAUCCAUAGCUGGUCUUAGAGGAUGAUCAGCCACACUGCGACUGGGACACGGCCCAGACUCCUACGGGAGGCAGCAGUGGUGAAUAUGGGACAACGGGCGAAAGACUGAUCCAGCAAGGCCGCGUGAGUGAUGAAGGCCUUAGGAUUGUAAAGCUCUUUUACCCGGGAUGAUAAUGACAGUACCGGGAGAAUAAGCUCCGGCUAACUCCGU